rnacentral:rRNA from 1 species
GAGGUGAAAUCCUACAGCUCAACUGUAGAACUGCCUUUGAUACUGAAAAACUUGAGUUAUUGUGAAGUGGUUAGAAUGUGUGGUGUAGCGGUGAAAUGCAUAGAUAUAACACAGAAUACCGAUUGCGAAGGCAGAUCACUAACAAUAUACUGACGCUCAUGGACGAAAGCGUGGGGAGCGAACAGGAUUAGAUACCCUGGUAGUCCACGCCGUAAACGAUGGAUACUAGCUGUUCGUCUAACAUUGGUUAGAUGAGUGGCUAAGCGAAAGUGAUAAGUAUCCCACCUGGGGAGUACGGUCGCAAGACUGAAACUCAAAGGAAUUGACGGGGGCCCGCACAAGCGGUGGAGCAUG